UCCAGACUCCUACGGGAGGCAGCAGUGGGGAAUAUUGCACAAUGGGGGAAACCCUGAUGCAGCGACGCCGCGUGAGUGAAGAAGUAUUUCGGUAUGUAAAGCUCUAUCAGCAGGGAAGAAAAAAGACGGUACCUGACUAAGAAGCCCCGGCUAACUACGUGCCAGCAGCCGCGGUAAUACGUAGGGGGCAAGCGUUAUCCGGAUUUACUGGGUGUAAAGGGAGCGUAGACGGUAUGGCAAGUCUGAAGUGAAAGCCCAGGGCUUAACCCUGGGACUGCUUUGGAAACUGUUAGACUAGAGUGCUGGAGAGGUAAGUGGAAUUCCUAGUGUAGCGGUGAAAUGCGUAGAUAUUAGGAGGAACACCAGUGGCGAAGGCGACUUUCUGGACUGUACCUGACGCUGAGGCGCGAAAGCGUGGGUAGCGAACGGGAUUAGAUACCCCAGUAU
rnacentral:rRNA from 1 species